rnacentral:ncRNA from 1 species
GGCAAGGCUCGUCCGCUCAGGGUAAGUCGGGACCUAAGCCGAGGCCGGAAGGCGUAGGCGAUGGGAAACAGGUUGAUAUUCCUGUACCACCGAAGCUCGCCAGGACCGAGGCGGGGACGCAGAAGGCUAGGGGGACCCGGGCGUUGGUUGACCCGGGGCAAGCGGGUAGGCUGGCCCGGUAGGGAAGUCCGCCGGGCUAAAGCGGAGCCGUGAUGCCGACCGAAUAAAGUAGGGAAGCCCCUGACGCCACGCUGCCAAGAAAAGCCGCUAGGGAGAGCGUAGGUGCCCGUACCGGAAACCGACACAGGUAGGCGGGGAGAGAAUCCUCAGGUGCGCGGGAGAACUCUCGCCAAGGAACUCGGCAAAUUGCACCCGUAACUUCGGGAGAAGGGUGGCUCGCCGGGGUGAGCGGAGAGACGCCGCAGAGCUCUGGUGAGUUGCAGAGGAGAGGCCCAAGCGACUGUUUACCACAAACACAGGUCAGUGCUAAGCCGAAAGGCGACGUAUACUGGCUGACGCCUGCCCGGUGCUGGAAGGUUAAGGGGAACGGUCAGGCUGAGGCCGAAGCCGUGAACCGAAG